UACAGGGGGUGCAAACGUUGCUCGGAAUCAUUGGGCGUAAAGCGCACGUAGGCGGCCAGGCAGGUCCGCUGUGAAAACUCGAGGCUCAACCUCGAGAUGUCGGCGGAAACCAUCUGGCUAGAGUCCGGAAGAGGAGAGUGGAAUUCCUGGUGUAGCGGUGAAAUGCGCAGAUAUCAGGAAGAACACCCGUGGCGAAGGCGGCUCUCUGGGACGGUACUGACGCUGAGACGCGAAAGCGUGGGGAGCGAACAGG
rnacentral:rRNA from 1 species